AAUGAUGCAGACUGCGAAAAAGUUUUUCAUUUCAGAACCUGCCUUAAUAUUGGGCUAAAAGACAAGUUUCACGGUAUAGGGUGUGAUAUAACGAUUACAUAAACGAAGCCCAAAAAACGGUCUAUUGUAACGCUGGGUUUUCUGUAAGCGGGUAAAAAAUGAGAUGAAGAUUUUAAAUAACAAUACGAUAAUCGUCGGUAUGGAAAUCCAUCUCCUCGCCAAAUUGCCCAACGUAUGCCAGCCCCACGUACGGUUUCACUUCUACGUUAUGUAACGGGUAGUGUGAGAUGGUGCGAUGCUGUAAGAAAAAGAUGAAGAUGAAUUUGUACCUGUCCUGGAUAAAGCCCGUUAUCCAGGAAUAACGGGCAAAAAUAUUUACUCAAGUGCCUGGGCGAGAUCUUGUUGUACCUGUUGACGCUGUUCUGGUGUUAAGACUUUGCUUAAAUCAAAAUAAUAUUUAACCCGAUAAUAGCGAGCCUGUUGUUCUAUGUUACUGAAGGCUGCAAGCUGCUGUUUUACGGCGGCGUCAUCCCAUUUACCGGAUUUAAUCACCUCUAUCAGCGCACCGUCUUUAAUUCCCUUCAUAGAAAUCUGACUGACGUCGGUUUCCAGUUGUUGGUGAAGUUUUUUGAUCCGGGUAAUCUGAUCGUUUGUCAGCUUCAGAUGCUGGACAAUAGGAUCCUGGGCGGGCAGGGGAGGAUUGGGGACAGCGGUGGCGAAAGCGCCAAAAGAAACGCCCGCCAGAGUCGCUGCCAGUAAAGUUGUGCGUACAAAGUUUUUCAUGAAGAUAUCCUGAUAAGGGAGUGAUUAACCGUUUUUAUUACCCACGAAUGGCGAGCAAUUAUCUUAGAGCCUAUCCCAUUAGGGCUAUUUUACUUGCCAUUUUGGACCUGGGCAGUGCUCGCCAAAACGCGUUAGCGUUUUGGUUGGGUAGGGGAGCGUUCUGUAAGCCUGUGAAGGUGGCCUGUGAGGGUUGCUGGAGGUAUCAGAAGUGCGAAUGCUGACAUAAGUAACGAUAAAGCGGGUGAAAAGCCCGCUCGCCGGAAGACCAAGGGUUCCUGUCCAACGUUAAUCGGGGCAGGGUGAGUCGACCCCUAAGGCGAGGCCGAAAGGCGUAGUCGAUGGGAAACGGGUUAAUAUUCCCGUACUUGGUGUUACUGCGAAGGGGGGACGGAGAAGGCUAUGUUGGCCGGGCGACGGUUGUCCCGGUUUAAGCGUGUAGGUGUGUGUUCCAGGUAAAUCCGGUUCACUUUAACACUGAGGCGUGAUGACGAGGCACUACGGUGCUGAAGCAACAAAUGCCCUGCUUCCAGGAAAAGCCUCUAAGCAUCAGGUAACAUCAAAUCGUACCCCAAACCGACACAGGUGGUCAGGUAGAGAAUACCAAGGCGCUUGAGAGAACUCGGGUGAAGGAACUAGGCAAAAUGGUGCCGUAACUUCGGGAGAAGGCACGCUGACAUGUAGGUGAAGUGAUUUACUCAUGGAGCUGAAGUCAGUCGAAGAUACCAGCUGGCUGCAACUGUUUAUUAAAAACACAGCACUGUGCAAACACGAAAGUGGACGUAUACGGUGUGACGCCUGCCCGGUGCCGGAAGGUUAAUUGAUGGGGUCAGCGCAAGCGAAGCUCCUGAUCGAAGCCCCGGUAAACGGCGGCCGUAACUAUAACGGUCCUAAGGUAGCGAAAUUCCUUGUCGGGUAAGUUCCGACCUGCACGAAUGGCGUAAUGAUGGCCAGGCUGUCUCCACCCGAGACUCAGUGAAAUUGAACUCGCUGUGAAGAUGCAGUGUACCCGCGGCAAGACGGAAAGACCCCGUGAACCUUUACUAUAGCUUGACACUGAACAUUGAGCCUUGAUGUGUAGGAUAGGUGGGAGGCUUUGAAGCGUGGACGCCAGUCUGCAUGGAGCCGGCCUUGAAAUACCACCCUUUAAUGUUUGAUGUUCUAACGUGGACCCGUGAUCCGGGUUGCGGACAGUGUCUGGUGGGUAGUUUGACUGGGGCGGUCUCCUCCUAAAGAGUAACGGAGGAGCACGAAGGUUGGCUAAUCCUGGUCGGACAUCAGGAGGUUAGUGCAAUGGCAUAAGCCAGCUUGACUGCGAGCGUGACGGCGCGAGCAGGUGCGAAAGCAGGUCAUAGUGAUCCGGUGGUUCUGAAUGGAAGGGCCAUCGCUCAACGGAUAAAAGGUACUCCGGGGAUAACAGGCUGAUACCGCCCAAGAGUUCAUAUCGACGGCGGUGUUUGGCACCUCGAUGUCGGCUCAUCACAUCCUGGGGCUGAAGUAGGUCCCAAGGGUAUGGCUGUUCGCCAUUUAAAGUGGUACGCGAGCUGGGUUUAGAACGUCGUGAGACAGUUCGGUCCCUAUCUGCCGUGGGCGCUGGAGAACUGAGGGGGGCUGCUCCUAGUACGAGAGGACCGGAGUGGACGCAUCACUGGUGUUCGGGUUGUCAUGCCAAUGGCACUGCCCGGUAGCUAAAUGCGGAAGAGAUAAGUGCUGAAAGCAUCUAAGCACGAAACUUGCCCCGAGAUGAGUUCUCCCUGAGACUUAAAGUCUCCUGAAGGAACGUUGAAGACGACGACGUUGAUAGGCCGGGUGUGUAAGCGCAGCGAUGCGUUGAGCUAACCGGUACUAAUGAACCGUGAGGCUUAACCUU
rnacentral:rRNA from 1 species